UACGAAGGGUGCGAGCGUUGUUCGGAAUUAUUGGGCGUAAAGCGCACGUAGGCGGCCUUGUAAGUCUCACUGUGAAAGCCCGGGGCUCAACCCCGGGAGGCCAGGGGAUACUGCGAGGCUGGAGACAAGCAGAGGUUGGUAGAAUUCCGGGUGUAGCGGUGGAAUGCGUAGAGAUCCGGAGGAAUACCAGAGGCGAAGGCGGCCAACUGGGCUUGAUCUGACGCUGAGGUGCGAAAGCGUGGGGAGCGAACAGG
rnacentral:rRNA from 1 species